UUUAGAGGCUUACUUGUAGUAUUUUACAGUGAAACUUUCACUUUCUUUUGAGUCAUUUUCUACUUGGGUAUCUUUACUUUUACUCAAGUAUGAAAAUUGGGUACUUUUUCCACUACUGACAGUAUGAAACAUGAGUGAUCAAGUGGUCCAGCUCUCCUCAGCCUCCCACCAUGAAGACAUGCUUCAGUCAAUUCACCAGCUGAGACUGUACAGCCACCUGUGUGAUGUCACAGUCCAGGUGGCCUUCCAUGGUGGGCUGGAGGAAUUUGAGGCUCACCAGGUGGUACGAGCUGCCUCCAGCGGCUACUUCAAGAACAUCCUACUGGCCCCGGACCCACCUAAGAAACUAUUCCUGGGGAACGUCCGAAACACUGAUUAUACCUGGUCCUUGGAAUAUAUAUACACUGGCAAACUGGAGGUGGAUGAAAAGUUUGCUGAAGACAAGAUUGGUGUGUGAAGUGGCGACACUGUUCGAGUGUAAAAGCCUCACGAGGCUAAAUCAUCCAUGUCACAAGACAUGGAGGCUGAUUUGGAUAAUGUAGAGGAGGGGGUGCUGGGGGUCGGAGUAAACAAAAUUCCCAAAAGAGCCUCCACCAAGAGGCCGACCUAUCCAACAAGACCAGAGAGGACGUUGAAAAGGGCAACGGUCCCGGUCGUCAAAGCCGAGGAGGAGAAAUCAGAGGUGAAUGAAGAUGCUGAGAUCUCUGGGAGGAGAAGUAACAGGCUGGCAGGCCGCAGAGUCUUCGUUGACAUUCCUAAGAAGAAGUACAUGAGGAAGAUGAAGGACCAGACCAAGACGCAGACGGGAGGAUCUGCCUGACAACACUCAGACCAAGACAGCCGGUCAAGAGGAGAACACUGCGAAUACACAGGAAGGAAGCGAUGGGUGAGGAAGUUGCCCUCACCAGAUCAUCUAGACAUGCUGACAACCAAAACAAGUGUGACAAGUGUCAACAGACCUUCCACUAUGAGAAUAGCUACCUGAAGCACAUCAAGACGAGCCACGGUGUGCAGGGGGAGGUGACAUACCGUUAUGACACCUGCCAGCAGACUUUUGCCAACCUUUGAAACCGAGGAUCCAUCAGAGACACGUCCACAGUGACGAGAGUGUACCCCUGCGACGUCUGCACCAAGACUUUCAAACGCAUGAAGGACGUGACGCGCCUCCAACGACAGGUGCAUUCGGGAGGCGGCGUGCGGCACACCGGUCUUGUGUGUAACAGGGCACUGAGCUCUAAGACAGCGUUGAGGUGGAGAGUGGAGUUGGAGGUAGGCUCCAGGAGGGGGCCAUGUUGGUACAUGUGCAAUGAUCCAACACACCUCCAGGCUGUGUAAGGGCUAUUUGACGAAGGAGGAGACUGAUGGAGUGCUGCAUCAGAUGACCUGGCCUCCACAAUUACCCGACCUCAACCCAAUUGAUAUGGUUUGGGGUGAGUUGGACCGCAGAGUGAAGGAAAAUCACCUCAGCAUAUGUGGGAACUCCUUCAAGUCUAUUGGAAAAGCAUUCCUCAUGAAGCUGGUUGAGAGAAUGCCAAGAAUGUGCAAAACUGUCAAGGCAAAGGCUGGCUACUUUGAAUAAUUUCAAAUAAAAAAAUACUUUGACUUGUUUAACACUU